rnacentral:tRNA from 1 species
GGGAUGCAGGCAACAUAAGAAACCGUCUCCUAAGCGGUAGGUCGCGCGUUCGAAUCGCGCCAGUCCCG